GGUGAGUAACACGUGGGCAACCUGCCUGUAAGAUCGGGAUAACUCGCGGAAACGUGAGCUAAUACCGGAUAAUACUUUUCAUUGCAUAGUGGAAAGUUGAAAGACGGUUUUGCUGUCACUUACAGAUGGGCCCGCGGCGCAUUAGCUAGUUGGUAGGGUAACGGCCUACCAAGGCGACGAUGCGUAGCCGACCUGAGAGGGUGAUCGGCCACACUGGGACUGAGACACGGCCCAGACUCCUACGGGAGGCAGCAGUAGGGAAUCUUCCGCAAUGGACGAAAGUCUGACGGAGCAACGCCGCGUGAGUGAUGAAGGUCUUCGGAUCGUAAAACUCUGUUGUCAGGGAAGAACAAGUAUGAGAGUAACUGCUCGUACCUUGACGGUACCUGACCAGAAAGCCCCGGCUAACUACGUGCCAGCAGCCGCGGUAAUACGUAGGGGGCAAGCGUUGUCCGGAAUUAUUGGGCGUAAAGCGCGCGCAGGCGGUCUUUUAAGUCUGAUGUGAAAGCCCACGGCUUAACCGUGGAGGGUCAUUGGAAACUGGAGGACUUGAGUGCAGAAGAGGAGAGUGGAAUUCCACGUGUAGCGGUGAAAUGCGUAGAGAUGUGGAGGAACACCAGUGGCGAAGGCGACUCUCUGGUCUGUAACUGACGCUGANGCGCGAAAGCGUGGGUAGCGAACAGGAUUAGAUACCCUGGUAGUCCACGCC
rnacentral:rRNA from 1 species